CACGUAGGGUGCGAGCGUUGUCCGGAAUUAUUGGGCGUAAAGAGCUCGUAGGCGGUGUGUCGCGUCGGCCGUGAAAACCUGCAGCUUAACUGUGGGCGUGCGGUCGAUACGGGCAUCACUGGAGUUCGGCAGGGGAGACUGGAAUUCCUGGUGUAGCGGUGAAAUGCGCAGAUAUCAGGAGGAACACCGGUGGCAAAGGCGGGUCUCUGGGCCGAUACUGACGCUGAGGAGCGAAAGCGUGGGGAGCGAACAGG
rnacentral:rRNA from 1 species